UUUAGAAAAAGUAGAUUCAUGCACUGCUUGCUGGAUGAAAAAUAGUGCUUUGGAAUCCCUUUUUUUAUUUUCUCUUAACCUGCGUUCUUUAUCCGGAUUAGGAUACCCAUUCUCAACAAAGUCCCAUAAAUCUUGAGACUUGAAUAAUGUCUUCAUUUUAAUGCUCCAAAAUUCGUAGCUUUCACCAUGAAAAGAUAGGAAUUGAUGGUUGAGAAAUACUCACGACAUUGCCAUUUGUCGCCAUGAGAUGUACGCCCAAUUACAACCAAACUUUGCUCUAAUACCACUAUUGUUGGAGAAGAGAGUUUUGUUGAACUCAAA
rnacentral:lncRNA from 1 species